rnacentral:rRNA from 1 species
ACGUAGGAGGCAAACGUUAUCCGGAUUUACUGGGCGUAAAGCGCGUGUAGGUGGUUCUGUAAGUAGGGCGUGAAAGCUCCCGGCUCAACUGGGAGAGGCCGUUCUAAACUGCAGAGCUAGAGGAUGGUAGAGGGAGGUGGAAUUCCAGGUGGAGCCGUGGAAUGCCCAUAUAUCUACGGAACACCAGUAGCGAAAGCGUCCUCCUGGACCAUUCCUGACACUCAGGCGCGAAAGCUAGGGUAGCAAACGG